AACAGGGGCCUAAUGCUCGUACUCGAUAUCGAGUUGUUUCGAUAGAUAAUUUGAAUUUUUGGAUUACCGUAUCCGUGAUCGAAUAAAAUUUAUCGAUAUGUCGAAUAAAACUAUUCGAGUUUUUGCCCGCCACAUUCUACCUGUCGAGACCAAAACAAAACAGAAGAAAAACGAAAUGAGCACGAAUUGCAACAAAAUAAAUUUUAAGCAAAAGGCAAUUAUGGCAGAUUUUAUGUCUGACCACCCGGGACUUGCCAAAGGAAAAAUUUCGAAUUGUCCAGAAGGUUGAGCGUCAUCCAAUCGUUUGUGGGAGCAGUUGACAACCAAAUUAAAUGGAGCAGGACCACCCGUAAAGAAUGUCACCUUGUGGCGAAAGGUUUAUGCAGACCAAAAACAACAUGUUAAGAAGAAAUUAUCCUUUAACAAGGCAUCAAAGAAUCAGACAGGUGGAGGCCCAUAUGAAGAAAAACUCAUCACCCAAUCAGAAGAGUUUAUACUGGAAGCAGCACUACGUUCUCGAAUUUGUCUUCUUAUUAUAUUUAUAUUAUUACCGUCCUCAUCUUCCGAAGAGGAUAAUACAAAAAAACACGUAUCCAUAAUUUUUUUCAACUUUUAAUGAAGCGGCAAACAAUUGUUUUGUUUACUUUUUGGAUGAAAACAUAUGUUUCGAUUGUCGGUAUUUCGAUUAUUUUUUGACAAUAAUCGAUAAAUUUUUGAAUAAUUCCAUUCGAGUCGUAUCAUUCAAUUAGUAACUACGGAUCGUAAUUUAACUUCGAACAAAAUCUCACUCUAUAUCGAGUACGAGCAUUAGGC